rnacentral:rRNA from 1 species
GAUGAACGCUGGCGGCGUGCCUAAUACAUGCAAGUCGAGCGAACGGACGAGAAGCUUGCUUCUCUGAUGUUAGCGGCGGACGGGUGAGUAACACGUGGAUAACCUACCUAUAAGACUGGGAUAACUUCGGGAAACCGGAGCUAAUACCGGAUAAUAUUUUGAACCGCAUGGUUCAAGAAUGAAAGACGGUCUUGCUGUCACUUAUAGAUGGAUCCGCGCUGCAUUAGCUAGUUGGUAAGGUAACGGCUUACCAAGGCAACGAUGCAGAGCCGACCUGGGCGGGUGAUAGGCCACCUUGGAACUGAGACACGGUCAAGACUCCUACGGGAGGCAGCAGUAGGCAAUCUUACGCAAUGGGCGAAAGCCUGACGGAGUAACGCCGCGUGAGUGAUGAAGGUCUUCGGAUCGUAAAAACCUGUUACUAGGGAAGAACAUAUGUGUAAGUAACCGUGCCCCUAUUGACGGUACCUAAUCAGAAAGCCACGGCUAACUACGUG